AUACGGAGGGUGCAAGCGUUAAUCGGAAUUACUGGGCGUAAAGCGCUCGUAGGCGGCUUGUAAAGUCGGAUGUGAAAGCCCCGGGCUCAACCUGGGAACUGCAUUCGAUACUGGCAGGCUAGAGUAUAGUAGAGGCAAGUGGAAUUCCGGGUGUAGCGGUGAAAUGCGUAGAUAUCCGGAGGAACAUCAGUGGCGAAGGCGACUUGCUGGACUAAUUCUGACGCUAAGGAGCGAAAGCGUGGGGAGCAAACGGGAUUAGAUACCCCAGUAGUCC
rnacentral:rRNA from 1 species